AUAGAACGCUGGCGGCAUGCCUUACACAUGCAAGUCGAACGGUAACAGGUUAAGCUGACGAGUGGCGAACGGGUGAGUAAUGUAUCGGAACGUGCCCAGUCGUGGGGGAUAACUGCUCGAAAGAGCAGCUAAUACCGCAUACGACCUGAGGGUGAAAGCGGGGGAUCGCAAGACCUCGCGCGAUUGGAGCGGCCGAUAUCAGAUUAGGUAGUUGGUGAGGUAAAGGCUCACCAAGCCGACGAUCUGUAGCUGGUCUGAGAGGACGACCAGCCACACUGGGACUGAGACACGGCCCAGACUCCUACGGGAGGCAGCAGUGGGAAUUUUGGACAAUGGGCGCAAGCCUGAUCCAGCCAUGCCGCGUGCGGGAAGAAGGCCUUCGGGUUGUAAACCGCUUUUGUCAGGGAAGAAAAGGUUCUGGCUAAUACCUGGGACUCAUGACGGUACCUGAAGAAUAAGCACCGGCUAACUACGUG
rnacentral:rRNA from 1 species